GUUGCUCUCCUUUCUUUCUUACAACCUAUCUUAGUUUUUGGAUAAAGAUUUAGGAUUUAAGACAAAGUCUUAUCUAGUCCUAACAAGGGUUGUCAGUGACCUAAAGAAGGAGGAUCAAAAGUUUAGAAGAGGUUCUGAGAGGGUGGAGUCAGUUUCUUGAAGAAACCUGAUCGAUAUGAGGCUAGUCAAGUUCUAGUGGCUAGAACUCUUGAAGCA
rnacentral:lncRNA from 1 species